AAUCAACGCUGGCGGCGCGCUUAACACAUGCAAGUCGAGCGAGAAAGUGGAGCAAUCCAUGAGUACAGCGGCGUACGGGUGAGUAACACGUGGAUCAUCUACCUUCUAGUGGGGGAUAACCCUGGGAACCGGGGCUAAUACCGCAUAAGCCUGUGAAGGGAAAGCAGCAAUGCGCUGGAAGAGGAGUCCGCGGCCGAUUAGCUAGUUGGUGAGGUAACGGCCCCACCAAGGCGACGAUCGGUAGCCGGCCUGAGAGGGCACACGGCCACACUGGCACUGAAACAACGGGGCCAGACUCCUACGGGAGGGCAGCAGUGGGGGAAUCUUGCGCAAUGGGCGAAAGCCUGACGCAGCGACGCCGCGUGGGGGAAGAAGG
rnacentral:rRNA from 1 species